CUUCCCGGAGACCCGCUCACCUGCAAGGCGAAGGCAGGUCCUGUCGGAACGGGGGCCAUGGGGCCGCCCUCCGCUACACCAUGGGCGUGAGCGGCGCGCUGCGCACAGGCUGGCUCCAGAGGACACGGAGAGACUGCGGCUUGUUUUGCGAGACGUGGAAUUAAAAUAACUUCCCCUAAACAGAGAACUGACUCUGGGAAAGACUUUUUAGCGAUUCACUCCCCAUCACUGUUAUUUAACUCUCUCAUCUCUGCCUUUUGGUUUGGCAGUAACCUGCCGAAGUAGCGAUAGCGUUAUCCUGAAUACUAUGCUGCCACCAAACGUAGGAAAUCAACCCGUUACGGCAUGAUUUAACAGUGUGGGCUGGCGCUUGAAGCAGCUUCCCUUCUCCUUGGGCACGUCUGUGAUAGCCUCGCUGCGGCCUCGCUGCGACUGUUGCCCUGAGAAGAGGGGCUGGUGUGCGGAGCUCCGCAAUGGCACACAGCCCUUCCAAUCACCUGCGCUUCAGUGGGGCCGUAUCACUACCGUGCUUCAGGAACUUGGGCCAACUCCAUGUGGAGUUUUGAAGCGAUGAAGAAACAGAACGACUACCAUGGAAUUUAGACCUGGAAUGACUGGCUAGAUGUCUGAGGAUUACUGCAAUUGACAAAGAAGGCUCUGCACAUCAUUCCAAACUCAUGCCAAAAAAAUCUUUAUCUCUUGUUAACAAAAAAGAAAAGAAAGGCUGCAGAGGAUCAAAAAAAAAAAUUUGAACUGCUUUUGUAUCCUUUCAGCUGUAUCCUUCCAGCCACCUUUGUUCUCAUGAGUUCAACUUUUCAAGGCAGAGAGGAAGCCUUUCUAAACAGACUUGAAAGAGCAUCACAAAUUUUCAAGGUUAAAGUCAGUAUAGUAGGCUGUAUACUGUGCCUGAGCAUAGAGAAGCUGUGCUUAAAUGUAGAAGAGGACACAGCAGAGAAAAUUUUCUAAUCCUCUGCUGUCUGACUCUGACAUAUGUUAUAACAGCUGAGCAGCUGAUCUAACCCAUACCUCUUCUAAAAACUCAUCAGUAAUGAAGAGGUAGACAAGUUUUAGUCUAGAAUGCACAUUCUCCAGGCCUGUAACAUCCAUGGAUGGAAGCCAGAACAUGAAGAAGUCAAAUUAGUGAGUCAGUUAUAGUCCGUCAAGUUUUAUCACUAUUGAUCUGCAAGGACUACAGAAGUGAGCUGUAAACCCCGGAAGUGAAGAAACUGUUCUUCACAAAAUGUAAAGUUGCUAUAUUACUUAACUAUCAAAACAU